rnacentral:misc_RNA from 1 species
GGAAGCAAAAGUCGUAACAAGGUUUCCGUAGGUGAACCUGCGGAAGGAUCAUUAUUGCAUAACCGAGGUGCGAGGGCUGUCGCUGACCCGAAAGGUCGUGCACGCCCGAGUGCCCUCACACACAUCCAUCUCACCCCUAUGUGCACCACCGCGUGGGUCCCCCUUUGGCUUGUUCGGAGGGGGGCUUACGUUUACACACAAACUUUGUAUGCAGUGUAGAAUGUAUUUUUUGUUUUUGCGAUCACGCAAUCAAUACAACUUUCAACAACGGAUCUCUUGGCUCUC